AAAGUAGGGGAGACUGGGUACACUUGAUCCCUAGGGGACACUUGGUAAUCUUUAUUAAAAAAUCUACUAAAUGCGCAAUCUUUUUUUAAACUAGCAACACUUGUUUGUUUAUGGCAAGGUUAACUUUCUGUCAUAGUUUCGUUGGACAAAUAUCAGUAGUUUGCAAAUGGCCGGCAAUCGAAAUUUUCUGUGGUGAUUUAUAUAAAAUUUGAAUACGAUGCCGCGAAAGUAUAAAACUAAAGAAGGUUCAAGAAAAAGAAAGCCAAUCGAUAAAGAAAAACUAAAACUUGCGGUAGCUGCAGUUCUGGCCGGAAAUACACUAAAAGGCACUGCAAAACAAUAUUCGGUACCUCUCAUGACUUUGAAAAGAUAUGCUAGAAAGCAAAAAGAAAAUGACGAGGAAAUAUCAUACGAACCCAACUACAAAAAAUCGCAGAUAUUUUCAGACCAAGAAGAAAAUGAUUUGGAAGAAUAUUUGGAAACCGCUAGUAAGUUGUAUCAUGGCCUCUACCCUAAGAAAGUACGUACGCUAGCUUACCAGUUCGCUAGCAAGAAUAAAAAGAAGAUUCCUAUCAGUUGGGAAGUUAAAAAAGAGGCAAGCUACGAUUGGUUUUGGGGUUUUAUGGAACGCCAUAAGAAAUUGUCGUUGAGAAAACCCGAGGCUACAAGUCUAUCAAGGGCCACUAGUUUCAAUCGCCAUAACGUGCAGGCAUUCUUCGCAAAUUUAAAAAGUUUGAUGGAAAGAUUCAAUUUCGAUCCUUCGCAAAUAUUCAACGUGGACGAAACAGGUAUAACAACCGUUCAUAAGCCCAAAAAAAUUGUUGCUUGUCGAGGCCUAAAGCAAGUGUCGAAAGUGACAUCUGCCGAAAGAGGAGAACUUGUCACGGUCUGUUCGGCAAUUAAUGCAAUUGGACAAAGUUUGCCACCUUUCAUGAUAUUUCCCAGAAAAAACUGGCAAAACAGAAUGCUUAAUAAUGCUCCUCCUGGAAGCAAUGGUUGCCCAAAUCCCAGUGGCUGGAUGACUGCUGCUACAUUCAUGCAUUUUUAAGUAAAAAUUUGAAAAUUAAAACUGAUUCAAAAUUA